UACGUAGGUGGCAAGCAUUGUCCGGAAUUAUUGGGCGUAAAGCGCGCGCAGGCGGUCCUUUAAGUCUGAUGUGAAAGCCCACGGCUCAACCGUGGAGGGUCAUUGGAAACUGGGGGACUUGAGUGCAGGAGAGAAGAGUGGAAUUCCACGUGUAGCGGUGAAAUGCGUAGAGAUCCGGAAGAACACCGGUGGCGAAGGCGGUCUGCUGGGGUAAUGCUGACACUGAGGCGCGACAGCGUGGGGAGCAAACAGG
rnacentral:rRNA from 1 species